rnacentral:rRNA from 1 species
AACGAACGCUGGCGGCAGGCCUAACACAUGCAAGUCGAGCGCUCACUUCGGUGGGAGCGGCGAACGGGUUAGUAACGCGUGGGAACGUGCCCUUCUCUAAGGAAUAGCCACUGGAAACGGUGAGUAAUACCUUAUACGCCCUUCGGGGGAAAGAUUUAUCGGAGAAGGAUCGGCCCGCGUUAGAUUAGAUAGUCGGUGGGGUAACGGCCUACCAAGUCUACGAUCUAUAGCUGGUUUUAGAGGAUGAUCAGCAACACUGGGACUGAGACACGGCCCAGACUCCUACGGGAGGCAGCAGUGGGGAAUCUUAGACAAUGGGCGCAAGCCUGAUCUAGCCAUGCCGCGUGAGUGAUGAAGGCCUUAGGGUCGUAAAGCUCUUUCGCCAGGGAUGAUAAUGACAGUACCUGGUAAAGAAACCCCGGCUAACUCCGUGCCAGCAGCCGCGGUAAUACGGAGGGGGUUAGCGUUGUUCGGAAUUACUGGGCGUAAAGCGCACGUAGGCGGAUCGGAAAGUUGGGGGUGAAAUCCCGGGGCUCAACCCCGGAACUGCCUCCAAAACUAUCGGUCUAGAGUUCGAGAGAGGUGAGUGGAAUUCCGAGUGUAGAGGUGAAAUUCGUAGAUAUUCGGAGGAACACCAGUGGCGAAGGCGGCUCACUGGCUCGAUACUGACGCUGAGGUGCGAAAGUGUGGGGAGCAAACAGG